rnacentral:misc_RNA from 1 species
UACAUGCCCAACAAAAGCUUGGAUUUCUUUCUCUUCGAUCCAGCCAAACGUACGAUGUUGGACUGGGAGACACGUGUAAGGAUCAUUGAAGGGGUUGCUCAAGGACUUCUGUAUCUACACCAGUAUUCCAGGUUACGAAUCAUUCAUCGAGAUUUGAAGGCUAGCAAUAUUUUGUUAGAUAAGGACAUGAACCCCAAAAUAUCAGAUUUCGGCAUGGCAAGAAUCUUUGGAGGAAAUGAGUUAGAAGCAAACACAAAAAGAAUUGUUGGAACCUAUGGUUAUAUGUCCCCUGAAUAUGCUCUGGAGGGCCUCUUCUCAAUCAAAUCAGAUGUAUUUAGCUUUGGAGUGUUACUGCUUGAGAUCGUGAGUGGCAGGAAGAACACUGGUCUUUAUCAAGCUGCUGCUCUCAACCUUCUUAGAUAUACAUGGCAAUUAUGGACAAGCGAAAGUGGAUUGAAGUUGAUGGAUCCAGUAUUAGACAACGAUCCAUCUACAUCUACACCUGUGCUGUUGAGAUAUGUUCAAAUAGCUCUGCUUUGUGUUCAAGAAAGUGCAACAGAUAGACCCACCAUGUCUGAUGUUGUUUCAAUGCUCAGCAAUGAAAGUGCCUUCCUGCCUUCUCCGAAACCACCUGCUUUUUCAAAUGUGAGAAGCGCCAUGGAAUCAAGGUCACCAGCGAGAAUUCCAGAGACUGUCAAUAACAUGACAAUUACAGUUUUGGAAGCUCGGUAAGUCAGAGAAAACAGCACUUCAAUAGAAUAUUGGUGUAUCAAUUCGUCGCUUUACUACUUGAAUUAUGCCUUCAAACCACAGAUUAGGAUGCUGAUAUAUGGAGAAAAUUAGUCAAUAUAGCGGUUACAGUAAGUUAGUUAGCUUAUGUCAUCUGUUCUACAAAGCUAUUUAUGAUGUGCAUUAAUUUAUUAUUUUAUUUUAAAAGAUUAUUAUGAUUUUAUUUUCAAAUUUGGAUUGGUGGUAAUUCUUAAUGGGAAAAU